rnacentral:sRNA from 1 species
UACAAUGUUUUAAAUGUUGUCGAUAUGG